rnacentral:rRNA from 1 species
GUGGGGAAUCUUGGACAAUGGGCGCAAGCCUGAUCCAGCCAUGCCGCGUGAGUGAUGAAGGCCUUAGGGUUGUAAAACUCUUUCGUCGGGGACGAUAAUGACGGUACCCGAAGAAGAAGCCCCGGCUAACUUCGUGCCAGCAGCCGCGGUAAUACGAAGGGGGCUAGCGUUGUUCGGAUUUACUGGGCGUAAAGCGCGUGUAGGCGGACUGGUAAGUUGGGGGUGAAAUCCCGAGGCUCAACCUCGGAACUGCCUCCAAAACUGUCAGUCUGGACUCAAGUAGAGGCAAGUGGAAUACCGAGUGUAGAGGUGAAAUUCGUAGAUAUUCGGUGGAACACCAGUGGCGAAGGCGACUUGCUGGACUUGUAGUGACGCUGAGACGCGAAAGCGUGGGGAGCAAACAGGAUUAGAUACCCGUGUAGUCC